AUAGAGGUCAUCUUCAAAAUUGGAGCCUGACUCCACAGAGUGAGAAGUGGAUGGCCCAGCUAAAAAUAAAGACAUGAUUAAUGAACCAAAAAUGAUGAAAGGUCCCGCGAAACAUAGAUACAUUGAUAGACUGAGCGGCGGCAGAUUCGGCAGACGACGCCAUUUUAACAAGUCAAGUCAAAACACGUAUUGCAGACUUAAAUCCAACAAACAAGCCAAGGUCGAUAAAUUGUGCAGAUAUCAGAAUCCAAAAAACAAGCGAAGGUCGAUAAUUGUGCAGAUAUCGGAGUCCAGAAACAAGUAAAAGUCGUUAAAAAAUAUCAAAACUUGGGAUUACAAAACUCGCGUACGCAGGAUAGCAACGGAAUGGCGCAUCAAACGCAUAACAAGACGCUCGCUAUAUGACGUUUCAUGAAAUGUGACGUUUCGUUCCGUUUCAAAUAAAUAUUACUAAAAAUU